CACCACCACCAUUUUGUAUCUCUGGCAGCAUCCCUCUACCCCGAUUGUUACUCUAUUUGUUCACUGAAUCCAGCUCAGUGCUAAUGAUUUCAAAUUCAAACAAUCUGUGUUUUCCGUUCUCCAAGAUUUUAUAUCUGUAUCAACAUCUUUGGUGUUUUGUUUUAUUGAUUUGGCUGAGAAGGGAAUGGAGCUACACGCAACCUAUUUGGUGAUGAAUUGCCCAGAUUGAUGAGCAAUUUGAGUUUUUGAAGGAUUUAGAAAGUUGGGGUUCUUCUCAAUCUCAAGUGUUAAAGCUAGAAAUCAGUGGAGAAGGAUACAUGUAUAUAUAUGAUUGAACAGAAUUUGAGCCACUUGAAACCCAUUUUGUCUGCUCAUCCGCUUGGCUUUAACAACUGAAAAUGGAAGUUCAUCCAAAUAUUUGUAUGUCAUCCAUGGUCCAUGCGAUAUCUUGAUUUCUGGGUUCGACUGCUUCAUGCAUUGGCUAAGAAAGCUGUUGGAGGAAGGAUUGUACCUCUGCUACUAAAAACUCAAAGGCUUAGGACGACAAAGCUCAGAAGUUUUCUGCCCACAUACAAAACGUAGCAGCCUCGUUUUCCCAAUAGAUAUGCACCGUGCUUCCUUGUUCAAUGUGAUUCCUUUUGCAAAUUCUGCUGAAGUCUCCAGCAUUGGGGCAAUCUAGAAGGAAAGAGUCCUGGUUGCCUCCUAAAUUUCUAAGCUUGAUUUUGUAUGUCUCGGACCUAGGAGGCGCAUCUGUUUUGGGCCUUUUAUAGAAAUUUCUAUCUUGAAUGUUAAGGUGCUGAACCACUCCUUUGGUAAAUGUAACCCGUAAUCAAGAUCAGAAAUGGCGAGUGUCUUGGAGAAAACGUCCAUGAAGGGUGGGAACUCGACCUUGACAGUGUUCAAUGUUCGCUCUCCAUCUUUAUCUUCUGUUGCCUGAGAAGUGUAGACGAUAACUGGUCCUCCAAUCAUGAUUCGCUGUGCUUCCGCUGACUUGUAUAAACUGUCCCUUAAUAAACUCCUUGUUUGUUCUGUAGUUUUUGUUUCCCCGUACCAUGAAUUUGGACCCCAUUGUAAUAAGUAAUCGAUGGCUUCCUGUUUUGCACAGCCGAUGCAGGCAUAUGAAUCUCUAAUUGUCACGGAUCGAGACUCAUUUAUCUGAGUGAUAGUGAAGUCGCUUCCUGGAGUCUCAUCUGGUGUAAUCAGGAGAAAUGUAGUUCUGUCUUCAGGGUUUUCAUCGAAACGAAGAGCCUUUUUACUUAAUUCAUCUUCGAUAAAAUCGGUUAAAUACUUAAGAGUGACUUGUUCCUUCUUGUCGAACUUUUCUUGAGUAGAAUCAAGUAACUUGGUGCAGAUGUCUUUGGAUGUCUUGGCGUUGCCUGUUGCACCAAGGAUGAAAUAGCAGCAUCUGUAGAUUUUUCUUCCUUUUAUCUCACCUGUAAAUAUGGA